GAACAGCUUCAGCGACUGUUUCUCAGCACUGAGGAUAAAGGACUCUGCUUUCCACCAAAAGUCACAAGAUCCCCUAAAUCAGGAAAAUCCUUAGCAGGUUAAGAUGAAAAGGCUCAUUCGAGAAGAAUAGUGCUGGAGCCGCUAUUGGCGUUACCUGUGAAAGAACGCCCAGAGGCACACACUGGGUAGUUUACGGGAGAAGCAGCAGUCCUCUGUGGAAUGGAAGCAAGGAAGCCUCAAAACCGGCUGUCUGUCAUUCAAGUCAAGAGAAACCUCUCCCCAUUUAGCAAACAAUCCCAGGACAUAAACCAAAUGAAAAAUUCUUUUCCUAGUUGACCUGACAACACUCUACGUGAUUGUUUCUGCGUGCACAACCAAAGCAGCAGACUGCUUGCUGGCUAUCGUGAUUUAUUUUAUUCUGUAACCCAAAGCCGCAUGCUGCCUGGUGUAUGAUGGAAGAUAAUAUGACUUCUUUGAAGAUCAGAGGAAAUGGGGGAGGGGAGGACAAACCCUGGUGGCACUAACACAGAGGGCAAAGAAUGGGUCUCUGCGAGGGUUUCCCAAUACCAUAGCCCAGGAAAGCUAUAAGGCGCCUGGAACAGCAUAAGGUGGCCAGAACUGUUGGGAAAUCCUUCUUUGGUGGGAGCUCAGAACUGACAAGCCAUAUAAAGAAGUGUUGCAAAUUAGAAGCUUAUUUCUUGUCAACAUAGCAGGGGUGGUCCUUUCCUUGCCUAACAAUGUGGGGGUGACAGGGCCCUGACAGGGGAAGCAACAGGAAUGCUGGCUUCCAAAGUCGAGGAGAAAAUCAGCUGAAAUAACCUUAUUGGGAUCUUACCUCCAGAUGGCCACAGCCUCCUCCAGGGGACAGGAAGGGGACUGGGGAGGGUGCUAAGGAAUGGAACAUAAUGUGCUAGAAGCUUUGGAGUCAGAUAGACUCAUCUUGAAACUCUUUCUCUCCUGCACUGCCAAUAUGUGUGUCUGGGGCAACUGUCUAGCUUUCUGGCUUCCGGUCUCACCUGGGUGCAGAGGGGAGGACAAUCUGAGCCCCCAGUAUCGUCUACAGAUAAACUUAGGAUCGCCUCUUCUGGCAUUGCUUCAAGGCUUGAGUGGAAAACAAGUAUUGGGAACUGUACAGUCAUACUCACCCCACGCCUUCUUUGCUCACCCGCCAGUCGGUUCUGCUUUGUGUUGAAGGGGAGUUUUACCUUAACAGGAGUUUUUCUACCAUUUCUGCCUUCUGUGUUAGCAAGUAAACAGGAUAUGUGAAAAUUUGCCACUUUGAUGUCAUUGUCUCAUUUUUUAAAAAAAUAAAAUAGAUGAGAAAUUA